rnacentral:lncRNA from 1 species
UCGAAUCACGUACAAACAAUUUUUAUUUCUCUGCUUUCAACUAACGAAUGUUUAGAGCCAAAAUCGAAAAUUGAGGAAUCUAAUACGAAGGACCAGCCCUAAUAGUCCCACAAAGAGAACCAAGUUUGUAAGGAGACUUACUUUAAAUGCAAGGGUUUCCUAUGCAAGAUGACAGUUGAGUUUGGCCUAGCUCAAGGUCAAAGACAUACUCUCUGGCACUGUCUUUUCCGAAUCAUUGCACCGAGGAGUGCAUUACUUGGAAAUAAUCCUCAGAUUACCAUAAGCUUAUCUGGGGUUCUCUUCAUAUUUACAGGACGCUACUUGUUUUUUAUUUUAUACAUGGAUCAGUCGUUUUUCUCUUGUAGUCUUACAAAGAGAACAUGCCAGUGCAUUCUGCAUAGGAGUAGAUUCCACAAACAAUUCGGGGACUGAAAUAGAACUUGCUUGGGCUACCGUUUGUUUGUUCCAGUCUUGCAUGGGCUGGCUCGAUAUGUAUAGUGUUUGGAAGGAAAAAUAUAAGAGGAUUCAAGGACAAGAUGAAGCUGAACUGAAUACUAUUGUAAAUUAUAUUUCAGAUUUGCUCGGCAGAACCUCUUCGAAGCAAAUGUUUUGUUAGAGGCUCAGUUUAAUACUAAAUAUUCUAAUAUUUGCAGAAACGAGAAUCUACAAUUAGUUUCUUUUGAAUCUGUAUUUUUUUCCCUUUGUAACUUGUAAAAACUUUGUAACAAAAUCUAUUCUUAGUUGAUUUUGAUUGAUGAAAACUUGCAUUAAAAAAAAAAAAACUAUU